rnacentral:rRNA from 1 species
UACGUAGGGUGCAAGCGUUAAUCGGAAUUACUGGGCGUAAAGCGUGCGCAGGCGGCUUUGCAAGACAGAUGUGAAAUCCCCGGGCUUAACCUGGGAACUGCAUUUGUGACUGCAUGGCUGGAGUGCGGCAGAGGGGAUGGAAUUCCGGCGUGUAGCAGUGAAAUGCGUAGAUAUGCGGAGGAACACCGAUGGCGAAGGCAAUCCCCUGGGCCUGCACUGACGCUCAUGCACGAAAGCGUGGGAGCAAACAGG